rnacentral:rRNA from 1 species
UACGUAGGGUGCGAGCGUUGUCCGGAAUUACUGGGCGUAAAGGGUGCGUAGGCGGGUCAGCAAGUCGGGUGUGAAAGUCCAGGGCUUAACCCUGAAUCGGCAUUCGAAACUGCUGGUCUUGAGUACUGGAGAGGUGAGUGGAAUUCCUGGUGUAGCGGUGAAAUGCGUAGAUAUCAGGAGGAACACCGUUGGCGAAGGCGGCUCACUGGACAGAUACUGACGCUGAGGCACGAAGGUC